GCUGACGUAGCUCAGUUGGUAGAGCACAUCCUUGGUAAGGAUGAGGUCACCGGUUCAAUCCCGGUCGUCAGCUCAA
rnacentral:tRNA from 26 species